AGAAUUUUGAUAAUAAAAAAAAACAAAAAAAAAAUCUGUUCUUAUCAGUAUAAUAUCUGAUAUAUGCUCUAUAUGAGGAUAACGUAGUAAGAAGAUUUUUAGCAUCAGGAGAUGAAAAAGGGGCUUGCUCUGUUCACUCCACGCAUUGACCCGGUAUUGCAGCUGCAGUCAGAGCAGAGAGG